CUAGAUUUUCCAAAACCACCCAACACUCAGAAAAAAAACACAAUGAUCAUCACAUUCCUUUGUAUUACUUGUACCUCUAUUCUGGUUUCAGGUUCCUCUCUCAGUGACAACGUCCACCAGACUCCAGCUGAUGUCUUCAAUAAACCUGAUGAAACGUUAGAAAUCAACUGUACACACAGUAUUCAGAACUACAACCGAAUCCUCUGGUACAAGCAAUCGGACAGACAACUGCAGCUCCUGGGAUACAUGUUUACAACCAGUGGAAACCCAGAGGCUGGCCUGGGUGUGAAGAUAGAAGGGAGUGCAGCUAAAGACCAAAACUGCACAUUAACAAUUGAAGAACUCAGCCUGAGCAGCAGUGCAGUGUACUUCUGUGCUGCUAGUUUACACAGUGCUACAUAUCACUGCUCCUCAGUACAAAAACCUCCUCAUCACACUCAUUCUUUAUAUGCACCUGGAAUAAGCCAGUCUAACCAAUGUCGGUCUCUCUUCUGA